rnacentral:rRNA from 1 species
AUUGGAGGAAAGUAGGGGAUCGUAAGACCUCGCGUUAUUCGAGCGGCCGACGUCUGAUUAGCUAGUUGGUGGGGUAAAGGCCCACCAAGGCGACGAUCAGUAGCGGGUCUGAGAGGAUGAUCCGCCACACUGGGACUGAGACACGGCCCAGACUCCUACGGGAGGCAGCAGUGGGGAAUUUUGGACAAUGGGCGCAAGCCUGAUCCAGCCAUGCCGCGUGUCUGAAGAAGGCCUUCGGGUUGUAAAGGACUUUUGUCCGGGAGCAAAUGCCGGUGGCUAAUAUCCACUGGAGCUGAGAGUACCGGAAGAAUAAGCACCGGCUAACUACGUGCCAGCAGCCGCGGUAAUACGUAGGGUGCAAGCGUUAAUCGGAAUUACUGGGCGUAAAGCGUGCGCAGGCGGUUCUGCAAGUCAGAUGUGAAAUCCCCGGGCUUAACCUGGGAACU